rnacentral:rRNA from 1 species
CAGCAGCCGCGGGAAUACGUAGGUCCCGAGCGUUGUCCGGAUUUGUUGGGCGUAAAGCGAGCGCAGGCGGUUAGAUAAGUCUGAAGUUAAAGGCUGUGGCUUAACCAUAGUACGCUUUGGAAACUGUUCAACUUGAGUGCAGAAGGGGAGAGUGGAAUUCCAUGUGUAGCGGUGAAAUGCGUAGAUAUAUGGAGGAACACCGGUGGCGAAAGCGGCUCUCUGGUCUGUAACUGACGCUGAGGCUCGAAAGCGUGGGGAGCGAACAGGAUUAGAUACCCGCGUAGUCCCUGUCUCUUAUACA